UACGUAGGUGGCGAGCGUUGUCCGGAUUUACUGGGCGUAAAGGGAGCGUAGGCGGACUUUUAAGUGAGAUGUGAAAUACUCGGGCUCAACUUGAGUGCUGCAUUUCAAACUGGAAGUCUAGAGUGCAGGGGGGGAGAAUGGAAUUCCUAGUGUAGCGGUGAAAUGCGUAGAGAUUAGGAAGAACACCAGUGGCGAAGGCGAUUCUCUGGACUGUAACUGACGCUGAGGCUCGAAAGCGUGGGGAGCAAACAGG
rnacentral:rRNA from 1 species